rnacentral:rRNA from 1 species
CCCUUAGAUGUCCUGGGCCGCACGCGCGCUACACUGAUGCAUUCAACGAGUAUUUCCUUGGCCGAGAGGCCUGGGCAAUCUUUUAAACCUGCAUCGUGAUAGGGAUAGAUUAUUGCAAUUAUUAAUCUUGAACGAGGAAUUCCUAGUAAACGCAAAUCAUCAAUUUGCAUUGAUUACGUCCCUGCCCUUUGUACACACCGCCCGUCGCACCUACCGAUUGAAUGGUCCGGUGAAAUCUCGGGAUUGUGGCCAGUUCACUUUAUUGGGAGUUGGCUGCGAGAACUUGCUUAAACCUUAUCAUUUAGAGGAAGGUGAAGUCAUAACA